AUUGAACGCUGGCGGCAGGCUUAACACAUGCAAGUCGAGCGGAGAUGAGGUGCUUGCACCUUAUCUUAGCGGCGGACGGGUGAGUAAUGCUUAGGAAUCUGCCUAUUAGUGGGGGACAACAUUCCGAAAGGAAUGCUAAUACCGCAUACGCCCUACGGGGGAAAGCAGGGGAUCUUCGGACCUUGCGCUAAUAGAUGAGCCUAAGUCGGAUUAGCUAGUUGGUGGGGUAAAGGCCUACCAAGGCGACGAUCUGUAGCGGGUCUGAGAGGAUGAUCCGCCACACUGGGACUGAGACACGGCCCAGACUCCUACGGGAGGUAGCAGUGGGGAAUAUUGGACAAUGGGCGGAAGCCUGAUCCAGCCAUGCCGCGUGUGUGAAGAGGGCCUUUUGGUUGUAAAGCACUUUAAGCGAGGAGGAGGCUACCUGGAUUAAUACUCUAGGAUAGUGGACGUUACUCGCAGAAUAAGCACCGGCUAACUCUGUGCCAGCCGCCGCCGUAAUAC
rnacentral:rRNA from 1 species